CGAUUUUUAUCAUUAAGGUUAAUGAUGUAAUUUUGGUUUUUUAAUGUAACCGCCUCUCAUUUAUUUUAGAUUGACCGUAUUUCUUUUUUUUUUUUUUGGCUCAUUUAUUUUAGAUUGAUUGUAUCCUUUUUUUGUGUGUGUAGAUUUAUGAUAUCAUUCAUUAUUUUUUAACUAAGUUUUUCUUAAUUUUCUUCUUUUCGUCUAGUUUUUGUUUAUGUUUCUUAGAACCGUUUGGUAAUUUUAUUACGUUAAUUAUAUAAUUAUAUUUUAAGUACAUGACAUAUUUAAGAAAAUUUAAGGGCUAUGAAAUUCAGAUAUAAACAUUU
rnacentral:lncRNA from 1 species